AAACCAACAGGGAUUGCUCUAGUAACGGCGAGUGAAGCAGCAAUAGCUCAAAUUUGAAAUCUGGCGUCUUCGACGUCCGAGUUGUAAUUUGUAGAGGAUGCUUCUGAGUAACCACCGACCUAAGUUCCUUGGAACAGGACGUCAUAGAGGGUGAGAAUCCCGUAUGCGGUCGGAAAGGUGCUCUAUACGUAGCUCCUUCGACGAGUCGAGUUGUUUGGGAAUGCAGCUCUAAAUGGGAGGUAAAUUUCUUCUAAAGCUAAAUAUUGGCCAGAGACCGAUAGCGCACAAGUAGAGUGAUCGAAAGAUGAAAAGCACUUUGGAAAGAGAGUUAAAAAGCACGUGAAAUUGUUAAAAGGGAAGGGAUUGCAACCAGACUUGCUCGCGGUGUUCCGCCGGUCUUCUGACCGGUCUACUCGCCGCGUUGCAGGCCAGCAUCGUCUGGUGCCGCUGGAUAAGACUUGAGGAAUGUAGCUCCUUCGGGAGUGUUAUAGCCUCUUGUGAUGCAGCGAGCGCCGGGCGAGGUCCGCGCUUCGGCUAGGAUGCUGGCGUAAUGGUCGUAAUCCGC
rnacentral:rRNA from 3 species